rnacentral:ncRNA from 1 species
UUUGACGUUAGCAGCAGAAGAAGCACCGGCUAACUCCGUGCCAGCAGCCGCGGUAAUACGGAGGGUGCGAGCGUUAAUCGGAAUUACUGGGCGUAAAGCGCAUGCAGGCGGUCUGUUAAGCAAGAUGUGAAAGCCCCGGGCUCAACCUGGGAAAGUCAUUUUGAACUGGCAGGCUAGAGUCUUGUAGAGGGGGGUAGAAUUUCAGGUGUAGCGGUGAAAUGCGUAGAGAUCUGAAGGAAUACCGGUGGCGAAGGCGGCCCCCUGGACAAAGACUGACGCUCAGAUGCGAAAGCGUGGGGAGCAAACAGGAUUAGAUACCCUGGUAGUCCACGCCGUAAACGAUGUCUACUUGGAGGCUGUGACCCAGAGUCGUGGCUUUCGGAGCUAACGCGUUAAGUAGACCGCCUGGGGAGUACGGUCGCAAGAUUAAAACUCAAAUGAAUUGACGGGGGCCCGCACAAGCGGUGGAGCAUGUGGUUUAAUUCGAUGCAACGCGAAGAACCUUACCUACUCUUGACAUCCAGAGAAGCUUGAAGAGAUUCGAGUGUGCCUUCGGGAGCUCUGAGACAGGUGCUGCAUGGCUGUCGUCAGCUCGUGUUGUGAAAUGUUGGGUUAAGUCCCGCAACGAGCGCAACCCUUAUCCUUGUUUGCCAGCACGUCAUGGUGGGAACUCCAGGGAGACUGCCGGUGAUAAACCGGAGGAAGGUGGGGACGACGUCAAGUCAUCAUGGCCCUUACGAGUAGGGCUACACACGUGCUACAAUGGCAUAUACAGAGGGCAGCAAGACCGCGAGGUGGAGCGAAUCCCAGAAAGUAUGUCGUAGUCCGGAUUGGAGUCUGCAACUCGACUCCAUGAAGUCGGAAUCGCUAGUAAUCGUGGAUCAGAAUGCCACGGUGAAUACGUUCCCGGGCCUUGUACACACCGCCCGUCACACCAUGGGAGUGGGCUGCACCAGAAGUAGAUAGCUUAACCUUCGGGAGGGCGUUUACCACGGUGUGGUUCAUGACUGGGGUGAAGUCGUAACAAGGUAGCCCUAGGGGAACCUGGGGCUGGAUCACCUCCUUA